GUGAGGAAUAUUGGUCAAUGGGCGCGAGCCUGAACCAGCCAAGUAGCGUGAGGGAUGACUGCCCUAUGGGUUGUAAACCUCUUUUGCAGGGGGGUAAAGUGGUUCACGUGUGGACCAUUGCAAGUACCCUGCGAAUAAGGAUCGGCUAACUCCGUGCCAGCAGCCGCGGUAAUACGGAGGAUCCGAGCGUUAUCCGGAUUUAUUGGGUUUAAAGGGAGCGUAGGCGGGGGUUUAAGUCAGCUGUGAAAUGCCGUGGCCCAACCAUGGAACUGCAGUUGAAACUGGACCUCUUGAGAGUACAUAAGGAAGGCGGAAUUCGUGGUGUAGCGGUGAAAUGCAUAGAUAUCACGAAGAACUCCGAUUGCGAAGGCAGCUUUCCGGGGUACAUCUGACGCUGAAGCUCGAAAGUGCGGGAAUCAAACAGGAUUAGAUACUCGUGUAGUCC
rnacentral:rRNA from 1 species